UACAGAGGUCUCAAGCGUUGUUCGGAUUCAUUGGGCGUAAAGGGUGCGUAGGCGGCGCGGUAAGUCGGGUGUGAAAUCUCGGAGCUUAACUCCGAAACUGCAUUCGAUACUGCCGUGCUUGAGGACUGGAGAGGAGACUGGAAUUUACGGUGUAGCGGUGAAAUGCGUAGAUAUCGUAAGGAAGACCAGUGGCGAAGGCGGGUCUCUGGGCAGUUCCUGACGCUGAGGCACGAAGGUCAGGGGGAGCAAACGGG
rnacentral:rRNA from 1 species